rnacentral:lncRNA from 1 species
AACAUGGUUAUUUAAAAAAAAUCUACGAGCCAACAGAACCCAAUGUUUUGGGUUAAGUGACCAUAUCCCAACCAAUAGCAUGACAUUUUUCACAUGUCCUAAAUCAAAUUCUUUUGAACUCUUUUAGUCCUAUUAAGAAAAAAAUUUAAGAAUACAAGCAAACACCAUUGAAUACAUAGAUAUAGCUUAUGUCAACUUUUAGCUAAAGUCAGCUCCCUAUAAAAGAUAGUUGAUUACAUUUUCUGAAUCCCCUAAAUAAAUAAAAAAUUGUAUUAAUUUAAAAAAAAAAUCUCUUCCUUCCAUUAUCUAGUUGCUUUAUUUCAAAGCUCUUCCCUUUCCUCCAAACUUGCAAAUAAGACUUUAAAUAUUUUAUGACUUUAAAAUAUUAAAAUAAUAUGAACCAAA